UCACUCUACAGUACCUGUCUCAACAUUAUUACUCACACGUCUCUUCGUACAACUGACGAGAAAGUGCCCAUUCUCUGCAAGCUUCGGGGGAAUCUUGUUUUGCUUUGUUUUCUUUUUGGAAUCAACAGGGAGGCGCAAAGUAUAAAGUUGCUGCUAACAUAUAUAUAUACAUAGAUAUUUAUAUUUUUAGCGUAUCUAUGUAUAUAUAAACAGUAUGUCCACAUAAACAUUUAACUGCCAUUCGGUUCUUCCAUGGUUUAGGUUUUGGGGGUUUUUUUUGUUUGUUUGCUUGCUUAUUUGUUUUUGUUUUUAAGUCUAGAAAGCGAUUGUAAACAUCUUUUCCAAGUUACUUUUAAUAUUGCAAAACUUUAAUUUGUAAAGGGAAUUGAGGAGUGCACAUCAUUGAUUAUUGAGCCUCGCCCCUAAUGUUCCUACCUUGUAUUCCCCCACCUAUCCAACCAUAUUCACAAAUACUGUUUUGUUAGCCAGGCUUCUGACAAAAUUCAAUAUUUCUAACACUCUAGUGCAAUAACAAUUGUUAAAUAUCUAAAAGGUGUGCAUGUGGGAAAGGUCAGUGCAUAUCCCUUUAGGGGGGAAGAAUGUUGUAAUAUAUCAGCUAUCAAGUUGUUUUUUUAAAAAAAAAGUAUAUUCAAUCAUAUAUUGUCUAUAGUAUGUGCUAUGAAAUUUGCAUUUAUGAUAUGUAACAGGGGCAAAGCCAAACUCAUGUUACUCUUUUCAGUCAGAAACAUGUUGUGGCUGCGGCGUUCCUGGGAGGCGCUGUGCUGUUUCAUUUGGUUUUAGUUCUGCAUUUAGAGUGCCUUAUAAUUGAUGCCUAUUUUAAUAGCAUUUCUUUUUACCUUUUGGUUCUGAUUUCCAUUAGGUGUUCACAUCUGUUUCUCUUUCAAUUAAAACAUUAUCUGUUCACCACAUGUAUAUAAACUCUUUAAAUAAUAUGCAUUCCUAGUUUUCAGCCAAGUGGGGGAUGUUAGUGACUGUACCAGCCCAAAGCACUUGGAUAAUCAGGGCCUCUCCUUUCCUCAUAGUCACAUCAGGAAGAGCAACUUGUUUCACUUCGAAUUCCUUCCAAAUCUGCUCUGGAGCAUGCAGUAACCACCAGUCUUAUUUAUAGAAACAACUUUGGGAUAUAUUUGAUAUUCCAUUAGGAUUUUUCUGAAAGGGGCAAUAAAUUAUAUAUAUAUAUAUAUGUAUGUAUCUCCCCAAACAUUUCCAUAGGAAGCCAUGGACGUUGGCAUGGGUUUGCCACAUGCUAUAUGAUUUUAAAGUACCCUCCACGAAUACUAAGAACUCUGAAAGAGUUUUGAUACAGGUAUAAUAUUUUGGUUUAAUUUUACCUUCAUGAUGUUCUGCAUGGAAGGGUAUUUGUUUUCACAUUUUCCCAUCACUAGCAGAAUAAAGUCCUAGAGACCAAACACUUGCAAGUAUCAUAUUUGAACAUUUUUUAUAAAAAAAAACUAAAAAAAUAAACAAAAACAAAAAAGAGAAAAAACAGAAAUAUAUAUAAUACUAAAAAAAAAGAAACUAGAAGGCUACCUCAGAAUGAGACUCUCUAAUCUACAUCAGAACCAGAUAGAAUGUGCACUGUGUGAGUCUAUUGUUUUCCUUUCACUUGUACCAUUGAAGAUUUAUCCAAGUGCCAGGUUGCUCAGUGCUGUAAUUUUGUUUUAGUGAAACAAGGGAGGUCAGAUAGGUUAUUGGGUCAUCAAGACACGCCAUUUUGGACAUGUGGGAUCUAAUGGAAUAUCACACAUCAAAAUGACUGGCCAGUGAGCAGUUUAUCUCUCUGCAACUGAAGCUGCCUGUGUGACAGGAGACAUGGCAGUAGUCACCAAAAGAAAUGAAUGGAUGUGUGCUAUAGGAGGAUGAGGUGGGCAUUUCUCCAGAAUCAGGAGCUGUUCCUAGAACUAACUCCCCACUGUCACUGAUGUGCAUUCCACUCUGUACUUUGCUCUAUGACCAUUCAAGUUUAAUUUCCCAGGCAAACAUCAGUAUCUACCAUUACCAUAAACAUCCAAGUUUCCAGUUAUUUUCAUCAUCAUAACCAGUACGGUGCUAUUAUUUACCUAUGUAUGUGUAGUUAUGUAUAAUUUUGUAAUUAGUUACAAUGGUAAAAUAUCAAAUAUAUAAAAGUGAUUUGUACAGAACUUUAUUUUAGCUCUUUUUUAAAAAUGGUUUGCAUGGUUAGACAAGGCAAGGACAGCCAGGGGAGGGAAGGGCCUCUAGGGAACUUUGCACUUUCUAUACCUUUGUACUAUGCACUGCCCUAUUGAUUCUACACCCAAUAAUGUUAUUACUUGAACCCAUCUGUAAGGAACUGCUUCAAAAGUUCAUUUUUGUGUCUGUGGAUAACACAUCACAACAGGAAAGGAAAAAAUGCAUAGUAGCACACACAGUUUUUUUCUUUCCUGCUGAGUUUUGGGUUAGCUUUGUUUCAGUCUUUCUUGUCAUUUUAAAAUCCCCUUCCCAUUUUUUUUUCUCUUUUGGUUUUGAUUUCCAUUGGGUAUAUGGGUGCCCUGAUACUCCAGCAGAGGUCAGAAGGCUACAGAUCCAUCCUAUCCAUCUGUUACACGGCUUUGCCAUACAAGCUUGGAGUGUCUUUACAAAGAUAACAGUUGUGUUCUUUGCUCUCGUUUUGGAUGCAUAGACUGAAAAUUCAAAAAAAAAUAACUUGUAAAAUGGCUUGUUAAAAAAUACAAUUACCUCUAAUUAGUAGUACGCGUAAGUGUUUUACAGAAUGAAAGGCGUGCUUUUUAUUUUCUUACUUCGUUACAUUGGUGGCGAAAGAAGUCUGUAUGAAAAUCAGUUCUUUGCUGACACAGGUUCCAUUUGUUACAAAUGAAUUCUAAUAAAAAUGUCAGUGUUAUGCA
rnacentral:lncRNA from 1 species